UACAGAGGGUGCGAGCGUUGUCCGGAAUUACUGGGCGUAAAGGGCGCGUAGGCGGCUUGGUCAGUCCCGUGUGAAAUCCCUCGGCUCAACUGAGGAACUGCACGGGAAACUGCCUGGCUUGAGUUCGGGAGAGGGAAGCGGAAUUCCGGGUGUAGCGGUGAAAUGCGUAGAUAUCCGGAGGAACACCGGUGGCGAAGGCGGCUUCCUGGACCGACACUGACGCUGAGGCGCGAAAGCUAGGGGAGCAAACGGG
rnacentral:rRNA from 1 species